GACCCCAUGCCGAACUCAGAAGUGAAACGCCGUAGCGCCGAUGGUAGUGUGGGGUCUCCCCAUGUGAGAGUAGGGAACUGCCA
rnacentral:rRNA from 1 species